AAGCGAAGAGGUGUGAGGAAGUUCUAAGAAAAGUUUCAAGCUAGCGGAGGUUGGCUCAUGUGGUUUAAGAAAAGAAGCUAUCUCUGUAACAUAAAAGUGCAAGUUGAAGUAGCACGUGCUGAUGGGAGAAGCAGGAGCAAGUUAUCCAGGAAAUCUAGCUAAGAUUGUUGAUGGAGGUGGCUAGGCUAAACAGCAGAUUUUCAGUGUAGACAGAACAGCCUUCUAUUGGAAGAAGAUG